UACGUAGGUGACAAGCGUUGUCCGGAUUUACUGGGCGUAAAGAGCGCGCAGGCGGUCGAUCAAGUCGAGUGUGAAAGCCCCCGGCUCAACUGGGGAGGGUCAUUCGAUACUGAUCGACUCGAAGGCAGGAGAGGUAGUGGAAUUCCCGGUGUAGUGGUGAAUGCGUAGAUAUCGGGAGGAACACCAGUGGCGAAGGCGGUCUCUGGGCAACAACUGACGCUGAGGAGCGAAAGCGUGGGAGCGAACAGG
rnacentral:rRNA from 1 species